UACGAAGGGAGCUAGCGUUGUUCGGAAUCACUGGGCGCAAAGCGCACGUAGGCGGAUGUGUCAGUCAGGGGGUGAAAUCCCGGAGCUCAACUUCGGAACUGCCUUUGAUACAGCACGUCUUGAGUCCGGAAGAGGUGGGUGGAAUUCCUAGUGUAGAGGUGAAAUUCGUAGAUAUUAGGAAGAACACCGGUGGCGAAGGCGGCCCACUGGUCCGGUACUGACGCUGAGGUGCGAAAGCGUGGGGAGCAAACAGG
rnacentral:rRNA from 1 species